GCUCGCUUCAGCAGCCCAUAAAAUUGGAACGAUACAGAGAAGAUUAGCAUGGCCCCCGCGCAAGGAUGACACGCAAAUUCGUGAAGCGUUCCAUUUUUUU
ensembl:snRNA LOC120093286 U6 spliceosomal RNA